rnacentral:rRNA from 1 species
AUUCUGCCAACAUUCAAGGCCACAUGAUCACAAAGGUACAGAGUCUUCUCUGUGAUCAGUAGCUUAAGGAUGUUAGGCCAUGAUUGGACUAGGAUGAGAGAUAAACUGAGAAUAUUCUGUAGGAUU